AACGAACGCUGGCGGCAUGCCUAACACAUGCAAGUCGAACGAGACCUUCGGGUCUAGUGGCGCAUGGGUGCGUAACGCGUGGGAAACUGCCCUUAGGUUCGGAAUAACUCCCCGAAAGGGGUGCUAAUACCGGAUCAUGUCUUCGGACCAAAGAUUUAUCGCCUUUGGAUGGGCCCGCGUUGGAUUAGCUAGUUGGUAGGGUAAAAGCCUACCAAGGCGACGAUCCAUAGCUGGUCUGAGAGGAUGAUCAGCCACACUGGGACGGAGACACGGCCCAGACUCCUACGGGAGGCAGCAGUGGGGAAUGUUGGGCAAUGGGCGAAAGCCUGAUCCAGCAAUGCCGCGUGAGUGAUGAAGGCCUUAGGGUUGUAAAGCUCUUUUACCCAGGAUGAUAAUGACAGUACCGGGAGAAUAAGCUCCGGCUAACUCCGUG
rnacentral:rRNA from 1 species